rnacentral:rRNA from 1 species
CCUACGGGAGGCAGCAGUGAGGAAUAUUGGUCAAUGGACGAGAGUCUGAACCAGCCAAGUAGCGUGAAGGAUGACUGCCCUAUGGGUUGUAAACUUCUUUUAUAUGGGAAUAAAAUGUUCCCCGUGUGGGAUUUUGUAUGUACCAUAUGAAUAAGGAUCGGCUAACUCCGUGCCAGCAGCCGCGGUAAUACGGAGGAUCCGAGCGUUGUCCGGAUUUAUUGGGUUUAAAGGGAGCGUAGGUGGAUUGAUAAGUUAGUUGUGAAAGUUUGGGGCUCAACCGUAAAAUUGCAGUUGAAACUGGCAGUCUAGAGUACAGUAGAGGUAGGCGGAAUGCGUGGUGUAGCGGUGAAAUGCUUAGAUAUCACGAAGAACACCGAUUGCGAAGGCAGUUCACUGGACUGCAACUGACGCUGAGGCUCGAAAGUGUGGGUAGCAAACAGGAUUAGAUACCCCGGUAGUC